AUGAUGUUCUUCUAUUCAUGUUUCAGGGAAUUUUUUUCGGGACAAAGGCAAGGGCAACCUAUAUUUAUUUGUGAACUUGAACCAAGUUCCUAUUUAUAUCCUAGAGUUCUCACAGUUUCUAACACAGUAGCAGCUUUAUAUUCUCUGUUGAUUUGCAAGCUAUCUGAAAAGAAAACAUUUAUUUAUGGGAAAGGCAGUCAACAGUCUGCUUCUUCUAAACAAUGUGCAUAUUUUUCACCUUAUUUUUUGUUUGUACUGCCACUGAUUGCAUGCAGCUGUUUUGUUAAUGCCUAUGCAAUUGAUUAUUCAUGA
rnacentral:rRNA from 1 species